rnacentral:lncRNA from 1 species
GGCUGCACCACCCAGGAGACAGAGGGUCUCUGAGUUCAAGGCCAGCUGGGCCAACAUCAGAAGUUCCUGGUAACCUGGGCCACAUGAGACGCCCACAGAAGUUAACAGCUGAGAUUUAUCCUGGUGGUGGAGCACUUAACCGCCAUCUGUGAGGUUCUGGGUUCUGCAUACAGAAUUAGGAGAGGAAAGUUGACUUUCCGAGUUUAAAUUCAUGGCUUUUGCAUUAAAUCACAGUGUAGCCCAGGCUGACCUCAAACUGGUACUUCUGCUGUAGUCUCCCAGGCACAUGCCAGCACACCUAUCUGUUUCUUACAUUUGUUGGGAAAACAACCAGGGUUUUCCUCUCCUGUGUGUUUGCUCCCAUCUCUUUGUAUUUCAUGUCAGCUGGUGGUCGAUGUAAUGAAACCAAGCUUGGGCUGGGAGCAGAUUAGUUUGCCACUUCUCAGAUGUCUGAGGUUUGUGUCAGCCCUAGAGCUGGCUACUGCCCGCACUGUGUAACCCGCCUGUAAUGUUCAUGUUGAUCCUCCAGUGUUCUCAAGUUUAUUGGUAUGGCCAAUGUCAUCUUCGCAACUAGGAGACAGAAGUUGCCGUGGGCACAUGGCUUGUCACCAGCCUGGUGUUUGCCUGUGUAUGUAUGGCAUUAUGAAUGGCUUUGAAAACAGCCAUGAGAACUUUAAUGUGCACCAUUUUGAUUUAUAGAAAGCAUCCAGUUUUUUAACCCAGUCUGAAAAUCCAAAGUUAAUACGGAACACCCAUCUUUCUCUUUUCAUUGGAACACCCAUCUUUCUCUUUUCAUCGGAACAUCCAUCUUUCUCUUUUCAUUUGGUUUAGUUUUUGGUGUUGGGUGUUGAAGUUAGGGUCUCAAAUGUAAUAGGUAUUUGCUCUGCUAAUGAGCUACAUCUCUAGACUGGAUACUUUUUUUAAAAAACAGGUGUUGUGUUUGACAUGCUGAAAACCAAAGCACUAGAAUAGAACAUACAUAAUUGGCACAAAAUUAAAGUCAACCAGUAGAGUGAGAGAGGGGAUCCAGAGACAUCCAUGCCUACAUCUGUGAACUCACUAUUACUUAUUUUCAAGUUGUGUAGUGGUGAGGAUUGGACCAGGAGCCACAGGCAUGCUGGGCAAACACUAUAGCAUGAGCCGCAUCUCCAGCCCUUUAUUUUAUUUUAUUUUGUUUUGAAACAGCAACUAGACUGGCCUCAAACUCCCUCUUAAGGCCUCAAACUCCCUCUCAAGGCCGGGAAGACUUGGAACCUUUUGUUUUUUUUUUUUGUUUGUUUGUUUUUCAAGACAGGGUUUCUCUGUAUAGCCCUGGCUGUCCUGGAACUCACUCUGUAGACCAGGCUGGCCUCGAACUCAGAGAUUCAUUUGCCUGCCUGGAUAAAAGGUAUAUGCCACUACCUGGCAGACUUGGAAGUUUUGGUCCACCAGUGACAGCCUUCUGGGACAGGUGUAUAGUACCAAGCCCAACACAUUUUAUUUAUCAUUCGUUUUUUAUCGAGUUUUUGUUGUAGUGAUUUUUUUCUUUUUUCUUUUCUUCUUCUUCUUCUUCUUUUUUUUUUUUCUGUUUUGUUUUGAGUUAGUUUUGCUGUGUAGCCCAAAGUGGCCUUUAAAACCUUACAGUGUUGUCUGUCGUUCAGCAUCUGAAGUGCUAGGAUUGUUGCCAAUUUUUGUGAACAUUUUUAAUGACAGCUGUAAUUGUUCAUCUCACUGGGAAAAACUAGACUGAUGCAUAGUUUUCCUUGAAAAAUGUCUAGAUGAGGCUGUGACAUUUUCAUUAUCACAUGACUUGCCAGAAAUCGUGUUAGUCAGAUGUGGUACCACAUGCCCAUAACCCGAAAACUUGAGAGAUAGAAGGCAGGAGAUUGAGAGUUAGAGGCUAGCCUUGGCUACAUGGCAGAUUUGAAGGAGUCUAAAGUGAAAUGAGAGACUGUCUCAGUAAACAGAACAGUAAAAUAAAGGGAAGUGGGGUAAAUAAACAGGUGGGGACACCUGUUACACAGAGAAACCCUGUCUUGG